rnacentral:rRNA from 1 species
UAAUACUAGCGGUCCAAGUCGCAGCCAUUAUUAUUGGGUCUAAAACAUCCGUAGCUUGCUUGAUAAGUUUCUUGUGAAAUCUUAUAUCUUAAGUAUAAGGCGAGCAGGAAGUACUAUUGAGCUAGAGACUGGAAGACGUGAGGAGUACGAUUAAGGUAGUGGUAAAAUAUUUUAAUCUUAAUUGGACUAACAAGAGCGAAGGCGCCUCACGAGGACGGUUCUGACAGUAAGGGAUGAAGGCUAGGGGCGCAAAACGGAUUAGAUACCCGUGUAGUCCUAGCAGUAAACACUGCGCACUAAACAUUAGUACCUCCUCGAGAGGUAUUGGUGCUGAAGGGAAGCCGAAGAGUGCGCUACCUGGGGAGUAUAGCCGCAAGGCCG